UGCCAGCCGCCGCGGUAAUACGGAGGGGGCGAGCGUUGUUCGGAAUUACUGGGCGUAAAGGGCGCGUAGGCGGACGAUCAAGUCAGGGGUGAAAGGCCUGGGCUCAACCUGGGGACUGCCUUUGAAACUGAUUGUCUAGAGUCCGGGAGAGGAUGGCGGAAUUCCCAGUGUAGAGGUGAAAUUCGUAGAUAUUGGGAAGAACACCAGUGGCGAAGGCGGCUACCUGGUCCGGAUCUGACGCUGAGGCGCGAAAGCGUGGGGAGCAAACAGGAUUAGAUA
rnacentral:rRNA from 1 species